GCCCCUUUCUCCACUAAACUAAACUAAAUGAACCAAACCAGCCUUUUCUCUCCCCAAAAGUGAAACCUAGCGUCACCACCACCCCACCCCCCAUCUCGUCACUUCCAUUACUUCACCGCCACCGCACCCUUAGGACCGUUGGUUAAAGACAUCACCGACGCCGCUGCCUCACACCACCUCAUCUAUCACCUUUUUUCCUUACGAUUGAGAGCUGUCACAGCUCUGUUGAUGACUGCGAAAAGGAAAAUUCGAAGAUCUUUCAGAUUGAAGAUUACUUUGUCUUCAAUUCAAUGGGUAAUAAAAGAAUCAACCAUCAGACCCAAAAACCAUGAAGGGACCUCUAAAUUCGGAGUCCCAAUGAACCUCUAGAGUUCAAAUCAUCUCUGAAAAGUCCUCGGCCAAAUCAACAGGCUUUCCGAGCGGAUUCGGAGACUCGAAGACGACACUAGCCUCAGUUCGCUGUCCCGGAAAAGGUUAGUGGUGGCCCUUGCUUCGCUUUUGUUUUCGGUUGUUAGGAAUAUAUAUCGAUGUAGCUAUUAAAUAAUUAUUCGCAAUUUUGCCUAUUUGAGCUUGUUUUGCUGCUGUGUGUCUGAAUCCCCAUAUAAAAGAUCGCUAAGAAUACAUGAAGGAACUAUCGGUUAAAUUGUAGAACAUGUGAAUGAGCUCGUCGCUCGUUUAAAUCCUGUUUCAUAUUUUUGUUAUAAUCUCUUUUGUUAUGUCUGUCAAAUCAGUGCGUAUUGUGGCUGAAUAGAGCUAAAGAUACAGUAAUAGGAUUGUUUGUUGGUAUACUUACUUGUCCCCUUCUCAUUCCAUUUAGCAAAGGAUUAGUCAAAAUUGCUAUGGUUGAGGAAAACAGUGAACUUGCCUUUAAAAAAAAAAAAAACAGAUAACAGUACUUUUUUUUUACUGUUAGGCUACCAACUUAGCAAACAUGUGACCUAUCAUGUCUAUUGUUAUUCCUGUGAAUGUAUUCUUUAUUUUGGCACUCGCUUAAGGCUCAAAAUUUAUGUGUCUAUAACACGUCCCAGUAUUGAAAACAGUUAGUGUUACCUUAAUAUUCAAAACUGAUUGAUAUUCACUCCAUACCUUAGUUAUGCAUGAGAAAGUGAAUUAGCAUGACAUAUAUUACCUUUGUGUUGUUUUGAUUAAUGUUUGGGGAGAGAUUGUCCAACUUGCUGUUUGGGUUUGUAUUUUUGUUUGCAUACACACACUUGUAUGAAGUUAAGAGACCUAGCAUAAAUCCAACAUUUAUUAAAAUGACAUUAGACUAAGGGCUGCUUUGUGUUUUUGGUUCCCUGAAUAAAGUUUGAGUCUUGUUUUUCUUUUUGUAUGCAAAAUUCUUGGACACCCUCUGUUGAGUCUGUCGCCUCGCUUGGACUAAUGCCUUGGGUUUAUAAGUCUGGCUAAUUGAUGUUUUUCUUAGAGUCUUAACUUUCGCAAAUAUGGAGUAUGAUUGGUACUUAUAUGGACUAGGUUAUUAUUCGAGAGAAAAAGUUAUUAUUUUUAAGGAAAAGUCACUGUUUUGAUAUAAAAGAAAGCUAUUUUUUUUUAACUAAAACAGUACUUGUGUGUCUUCAAUAUGACUUCAUGUAUUAAACCUAAGGUUGUGCAUAAGGUGGCCAGUUCAAAAGGACCUGUGCAAAGUUGUAUUAUCUGUUUAUCUUCUUGAUAUUUAUAAAUGGUUAACCAAGUGAGAAUUGGAAUACUGAAUUAAAAGAGUAAGGGGCAUAAAUUGGUUUGUCUUGUCUUUGGUAUAUGAAGUGGUUGUCCCUAGCAUCUAAGGAAGGCCUAGAGUGAUGUCCUAGGGCUAAGAGCUGAAGAAAGGCUUUGAGUGUAUUGCUCAGCCUUACCUUAGUUGCUUUGAGCUGCUUAGGUUCCUCUUUGCUGGAUUAUGAGACCAUGAGUUCCCUUUUUAUUGUGUUUGUAUGUUAGAUUAGGGUCAAUUAAGUUUUAAAUCUCAACAUAAUCAAGACUGGGUGGUUAGCCUAACAUCUGCGUUAUUUUAGCCUAGUUUGAACAUUGUGAAUGGCAUGAUGAUAACAUGAUGAGUUGAUUCAAGUUUUCUGCCGUUUAGCCUGUUAUGAUUACUUAUUUUGGAUAUGGUUGUGUCUGAAUGAUCAUAGUAAGGACUAGUUAAGGAUUGCUUUUGCUGUAAGAUCAAUGUAAUGGCCUUAACAAUAAGAUCCCCAUAUUCCUCCAAAGUUUGCCUUUAUACCUUUGUGCUAGUAUAUGUUUUAGGUGUAGGCUGAACCAAAUCUCUCAUUUAUCUUUCCCGGCCCUUUGUUCCUCUGUAAAUGAGUAGAGUUUUAUUGUAUUUGUGUGUUUUACCCUUAUAUGCAAAAAUGUAUGAAGGCAACAUGACAUUUUGAAUGAGCCUAAGACUGAAAGUAUCUAUUUCCUUAUACCUAUUUUGCCCUGGCAUUUAUCUGACUGAGCCAUAGAUUGUGUCAUAAGUUUUUUUUUUUUUUUUUCAAAUAAUUAAGAGAGUGUGUAUGCUAAUUGUUCUGUUGCUAGAAUAACCCUUCCUUCCCUCUCUUCUUCUUGAUGUACUGCUAAGAUAAGGAUAAUUUGCCUAAGACGAUCAUCAUAUUUUGUUUACCUGUGUCUGAUGUUGGGGUAUAAAUCAUUCCACUUGUUCUUUCCUUUGGACUGUGUGCAUUAAGAAUGGUAUUGAACAUUGAUAUUAUAGCAUAGCAUGUCUGAUUUGGUAGAAUUCUAUGUAGGGAAUGAGGUUGAUCUCUGCCUAGUUUGUCUUUGUGUCCCUUAAUAACUCUAAGAAGUGGAAGUUUUGUAUAUGUUGCGCAUACAUUUAGUGUGUAAAGGCAUGUAUAAAUUUAGUGUGACUAACUACUGCUCCAUCCCUUUAUUUUAAUAAUAUAAAUUUGUCUUCCAGCUCCUCUUUUGUCCCCUGCAUUCAGUUUUUCCUUUCUAUCAUUAGAUAAUAUCACUAGAUAAUAACUGAAACAGUCUAUCCUUUUUAAGUUAACAAUGCGUAAUGUCUUGAAAUUUGAUUGCCUUACAAUUUAGAUUGCUUCUAAUCCUUUUCUUUUCUUUGCAUAUGUACGUGGGAGUAUACUGGAGUUGUAUGACAACUCCAAGACUGCUCGGAAAUAGAGAAACAACAGUGUCAUUCGCUUGUGUCUAGCAGCCUCGUUCGCGUCCACAUCCUUUUCCCUCUCUUCAUACUUUUAUCUUUUGUUUUUAUACAUACGAUUUGACUAACAGUUGUACCAAUUUGGUAUUUGUAUUUUACGCUUUGCUUAAUUCGUGUUUGGGUUUGCGUAAA